GUGCUCACUUCUGCUGCACAUAUACUAAAAUUGGAACGAUACAGAGAUUAGCAUGGCCACUGCACAAGAAUGACACACAAAUAUGUGAAGGGUUCAAUUUUAAA
ensembl:snRNA U6 U6 spliceosomal RNA